GGGGGCAUAGCUCAGCUGGGAGAGCAGCAGACUGAAGAUAAUACAAGAGUCUUUCUGAAGGUCCCGCGUUCGAUCCGCGGUGCCCCCA